rnacentral:snRNA from 1 species
AGCUUUGCGUAGUGGCAGUAUCGUAGCCAAUGAGGUUUAUCCGAGGUGCAAUUAUUGCUAAUUAAAAAUACAAUAAAAUAUUCAUUCUGACAAAGAAAGGACAUUUACAGAAAU